UUGAGCUCAGUGGGUGAGGCAGUCCCGUUCAGUGCCUUCAUUUGAAACUAGUGAUACCGACAGUAGGAGCCACCACAGCUUGACAGACUGCAACCGAAACUCUAUCAAAGGGGUGCAAGCAAAGAGAGAGAGAAACACCACGAGAAUCUUUGUGGACGAGGCAUGUGAGGUAGUCGCUGAGGUCUGUGAGGAUUGGUUCCCGCCCUCCUCCUCUCCCCCCUUCAGGUUUAAAGGCAAAUAUCAAGCCUUCUCCUCUUCCCUCCACCUACCCUCGGGAAAUCGGCAAGGACCACCUCACCAUUUUUUGGGUACGUCAGGCUCCCCUUAGGACGCCCGGCACGACCAUACCUCCGGCCGCCCAAGUUUUACAAUGAAGGAACAUCUGGCCGGAUUCAUAUCGAGACUCACCCUUCUCGGCUUACACUCGCACUCGUAUUCUUUAACACUGCUCUCUCACGGGGACUGUUCUCAAAAGCCGCGCAGAUGAUUAACCAGGCUGUCACGAGUGUUUCCUAUUGAUAAUGCAGAAUCCUUAUUAAAUUACCACUAGAUUCAUGAAAGCACGCUUGGAAACACUAUUCUCUACUAAAACCUACCGAAAGUAAUGGAGAUAGUGCACUAAAACGCUUGAUGACACGAUUUCUUAAAGGGAAAAUAUAUAAGAGAAGAGGAGGAGUAUUCUCAAAGGCUGUCACAAGUGUUUCCUGUUAAUAAUGCGCAGUCCUUAUUAAAUAACCAUUAGAUUCGUGAUAGCACACUUGGAAAACAUUAAUACCCUGCACUCUAAUCUAUCUGAGGAAGAAAGGACAGUAAUAUGCAGUUCUUAAAAUAAAGAUCUAGGUAGUUAUUCUCAUUUCUCACCCUCUCUCCUAAUUUAACCCGUACUCUCGCCCCCGGAUA